rnacentral:rRNA from 1 species
CUUUAACACUGAGGCGUGACGACGAGGCACUACGGUGCUGAAGCAACAAAUGCCCAGCUUCCAGGAAAAGCCUCUAAGCAUCAGGAAACACGAAAUCGUACCCCAAACCGACACAGGUGGUCAGGUAGAGAAUACCAAGGCGCUUGAGAGAACUCGGGAGAAGGAACUAGGCAAAAUGGUGCCGUCACUUCGGGAGAAGGCACGCUGACACGUAGGUGAAGUGAUAUACUCAUGGAGCUGAAGUCA